rnacentral:rRNA from 1 species
GAUGAACGCUGGCGGCGUGCCUAAUACAUGCAAGUCGAGCGAACGGACGAGAAGCUUGCUUCUCUGAUGUUAGCGGCGGACGGGUGAGUAACACGUGGAUAACCUACCUAUAAGACUGGGAUAACUUCGGGAAACCGGAGCUAAUACCGGAUGAUAUUUUGAACCGCAUGGUUCAAAAGUGAAAGACGGUCUUGCUGUCACUUAUAGAUGGAUCCGCGCUGCAUUAGCUAGUUGGUAAGGUAACGGCUUACCAAGGCAACGAUGCAUAGCCGACCUGAGAGGGUGAUCGGCCCCACUGGAGCUGAGCCACGGUCAAGAGUCCUACGGGAGGCAGCAGUAGGGAAUCUUCCGCAAUGGGGGAAAGCCUGACGGAGCAACGCCGCGUGAGUGAUGAAGGUCUUCGGAUCGUAAAACUCUGUUAUUAGGGAAGAACAUAUGUGUAAGUAACUGUGCACAUCUUGACGGUACCUAAUCAGAAAGCCACGGCUAACUACGUG